CUACAGUGAUGGUAACAUUUUUUGUCAACAGCAGUUCAUCUAGUGAGUGUUGAGACUUUGGGUCUGAGUGG